GACGAACGCUGGCGGCGUGCCUAAUACAUGCAAGUAGAACGCUGAAGGAGGAGCUUGCUUCUCUGGAUGAGUUGCGAACGGGUGAGUAACGCGUAGGUAACCUGCCUGGUAGCGGGGGAUAACUAUUGGAAACGAUAGCUAAUACCGCAUAAUAGCAGUUAUUGCAUGAUAACUGUUUGAAAGGUGCAAUUGCACCACUACCAGAUGGACCUGCGUUGUAUUAGCUAGUUGGUGGGGUAACGGCUCACCAAGGCGACGAUACAUAGCCGACCUGAGAGGGUGAUCGGCCACACUGGGACUGGGACACGGCCCAGGCUCCUACGGGAGGCAGCAGUAGGGAAUCUUCGGCAAUGGACGGAAGUCUGACCGAGCAACGCCGCGUGAGUGAAGAAGGUUUUCGGAUCGUAAAGCUCUGUUGUAAGAGAAGAACGAGUGUGAGAGUGGAAAGUUCACACUGUGACGGUAUCUUACCAGAAAGGGACGGCUAACUACGUG
rnacentral:rRNA from 1 species